GCUUAGAAUCAACGAAGUGAAUACCGGUUGAACUUCCAGAGCUGGUCCCUAUUUUGGUUUGGCUGGUGCCAACACCAGCAUCCGUGGAUGGCGGAGGAACUGAAUUUGAUGUGGCAGGUGACCCAGACUUAAAAAUAGAUGAACCCAGGUCAGGGACUGUCGUUUUUGCAGAAUCUCUGUUAAAACCAGUGUUGAUGUCAUUCACAGAGCUGUAUGUGGGAAGGCCAGCAUUAGGAACAACUGAUAGGGAGCUAUCAGCUGCAGUUUGACUCGUUGAUGGCCCUGGAAGAGUUCCAUUUUGUAAACCAGACCCAAAUGAGAAGAUGCCUACAGCUGGCGAUGAUGCCAGUGCAGAUGGAGGCACAACUUUACUUGUCUGGAAAGAAUCACAAUGUUCAAUUCUGCCUGCACCUUUAUUUGAUGUGGCAGGUGACCCAAACUUAAAAAUAGAUGAACCCAGGUCAGGGACUGUCGUUUUUGCAGAAUCUCUGUUAAAACCAGUGUUGAUGUCAUUCACAGAGCUGUAUGUGGGAAGGCCAGCAUUAGGAACAACUGAUAGGGAGCUAUCAGCUGCAGUUUGACUCGUUGAUGGCCCUGGAAGAGUUCCA
rnacentral:lncRNA from 1 species